UACGUAGGGGGCUAGCGUUGUCCGGAAUCAUUGGGCGUAAAGAGCGUGUAGGCGGCCCGGUAAGUCCGCUGUAAAAGUCAAAGGCUCAACCUUUGAAUGUCAGUGGAUACUGCCGGGCUAGAGUCCGGAAGAGGCGAGUGGAACUCCCUGGUGUAGCGGUGGAAUGCGCAGAUAUCAGGAAGAACACCAACGGCGAAGGCAGCUCGCUAGGACGGUACUGACGCUGAGACGCGAAAGCGUGGGGAGCGAACAGG
rnacentral:rRNA from 1 species